AUUCAAUUUUAUCUGUUUUUAUUCUCAUUUUAUUGAAAUCCUGAUUUUGGUAUUACUUAAACCCUCAAGUUCUUUUAGACUAAAGUAAAAACAAACAUUCUUGAUAUUUGAUGAUUAUUUUAAAACCAUCCAUGAAUGGCCAACUUUUAUAUGAAUAAAAUAUAAUCGACAUUAAAAUUAUACUGAGCAUGGUGUAAUCUUCGUCUAAUUAUUCAAAUUGCAUUUUGGAUCUUGUCAUAAUUCCAGGAUAUUAUCAUUAGUAUAAAUUAGUAUUAAGUAAAUAUCAGUUGGAGAGGUCCCGUUGUGGCCCAGGGGAAACAAAUCCAAUUAGGAAACAUGAGGUUGCCGGUUUGAUCCCUGGCCUUGCUCAGUGGGUUAAGGAUCCAGCGUUGCUGUGAGCUGUGGUGUAUGCCACAGAUGUAGCUCGGAUCCUGUGUUAGCUGUGGCAUAGGCCAGCAGCUGUAGCUCUGGUUAGAUUCCUAGUCUGGGAACUUCCAUAUGCUGUGGGUGCACCCCUAAAAAGCAAAAGCAAAAAAAAAAGGUGGAAUAUCAAUUAAUAUCAGCUACAAAAGUAUAGAAAUGUCAGUUAAAGAUUUCUAAAUGACAAUGGUCAUGGUGUUGAUAUAAUGAAAAUGAUGACUAUUUGUCUACUGAUUCAUUCAUCCUAACCCCUAGUAGCUCAGAAUGUGAUCUCAUUUGGAGAGAGAGUCUUUAGCGAGGUAACUGAGUAAAAACAAGGUCAGCGGGUGGGCCCUAGCCCGAUAUGACUGUGUCCUUCUACGCAGGAAGCUUGGACACAGAGGCUCACAUAGAGGGAAGAUGCUAUGCAGAGACACAGGAGAAGACGGCCAUCUACAAGCCCGGGAGAGAGGCCUGUCACAGCUCCUUCCCACAAGGAACCAACCCUGCUGAUUGGUUAAUUUUGACCAAUUCGACCUUGCUGAACCUUAAUUUUGGACUUCCAGCCUCCAGCACUGGGAGAGAAUAGAUUUCUGUUGUUUAAGUCACUCUGUUUGUGGUACCUUGUCUCCAAAACCCUAGCAAACUGCUCCAGGAGGAACGGGCUUGGAGAGGGAAUGGAAGCUAAUGGGGUCAAGGAACAGAAAGGAUCCAGUUCAGCAGAACCCAGUGGGUCAGGGAGACAGGGGAGUGCAGGAUUUGGGGGGGGGGGUGUAAACUAUUCCCCCCCUGUGAAUGGAAGGCGUGGCUCUCUUCCUUGAGUUCAGAGCCAGGCCUGAGGACGUGGAAUGGGAUAAGCUACUAGAAGAAAGAGACCUCAAAAUAGAGUGGCUUAAUUAGGGGAGAGGUUUGAGUUUCUUCCACCCAAUGGAGCAGAGGAGGGGAGCGGUCUAGAUCUGGAAGGAUCAGAUGCUGGUAGGACGGAGCUGCCAUCUUCCACCGCGGCUUCCUUCCCCGGGCCUGAGGCAGCUACUCCCGGAGGUGCCACUCCUCGCCAGGUGACAGCAGGGGAAGACAGAACAGAGGCCUGGAGCUUCCAUAUAAAAAACCAUGAUCUGCAAGGUGCACGCAUGGCUUCUGUUCUCAAACCCUUGGCAGGAGCACAGCCGCGUGACCACACCUGCUGCCAUGGAGUCUAAGACGGGGGGGGGGCUCUAACGAUCACUUGAGGGGUCCAAUUGCCAAGAGUUCCCUGCCAACUCAGAGAACUGUGUUUCUAGAAAGAGAAAGAGAGACUAGCCUCUGGGGAACAAUCAGCAGCCUCUGUCGCAGCCCAACCUGUUAGCUGGAAGGCUGGACUCAUCUCUUGCUCUUCCUGCAAGGCUCCAGGAUGGCGGAGGUGGCAUUCGAAAUGGACUGUCUGUUGUCUGCUGUCAUCCCUCCAAUGAGUUCCCAAAAAGAGCUCUUCCAAUGAGAUGGCUGGCCAGAGCGUGGGUGCCGAGGCCUGUCUAGUUCACUUCCAGCACAUCCCUGAAAAAUCUCCCCACCUCGCCCACAAGAAGCCCUCUGCGGUCACGGUGCUUUCUGCCACUUGGUCCUUGUCUUGCAUCCUUCACGCCCAGGAACUACCAGGGGCAGGUCGUUUAUGUGUCUGGCACGUGCUGCAGCUCUCCAGCAUUUGGAACUUUUAUUGCAUGUCAGAAGCAUUUUUUUAAUACUGCUGCUAACAAUAGUACCUAGCAGGGGCGGACAGGCAAGAACGUGUCAGAAGGCAGUGGUUCCCAUUACUGUGCUUUCAUUGUUCCCUGGAACAUGACAGACGGGAUCAAUUCAGGCUUGCCUUUUCAGUUCUCCUACUCAGGUUACCGAUCCCAUUACUAGAAGUCCUGCUUUGCUGGCGUCCGUAGAAACAUGCCACAAAUACAGUGUGUGGGGUGUUCUUAUGCUCCACUGAUGCAGGCUGAAAUGGAAAAUUUGGUGUCUGUGCAAGAAAAAGGUUCCAACUCCAUAGCCCGAGGGUGUCUUGAAGUGAGGGCACAAAGACUGGAUACGGGCUAAAUCUUGCCUGCCUUCUUGGGUGCAAAAUGGAAAAGGACAAGCAGAGAAAGCAAAAUCACCUGCCUUUUGAUCUGUUCCUCCACCUCUCAUUCUUUAAAAGUUUUCUCUGUCCAGGACCGUAAACAUUGAUAUAAAUUGCUAACCUUAUUGAAUUCGAGUUUAUGUCAAGAACUGUGCAGGGAGCUUUCCAUGAAUUAGCUUCUUUGAACUUCACAGCAACUUACUGCUAUAGGUACUGUGGGUAUUCCCAUUUUACAGAUGAGGAAAAUGAGAGUUGGAGAUGUUUGGGUUAUGUGUUUACUAUAGCACAGCUGACAAGGGGCAGAGCCAGUAUCUGAACCCAGGUCUUUGUGACCCCAGAGCCUGCACCGGUAACUCCAAUUCCUUAUUGCCUGUUAAGAUGAGCAGAGAAGAUUGCAAUUUCCAGUUGUUUCUUCCCACCAUAGCCUGGUACCUAAUGGCCAUCCCUACUGAGAAAAGCACAGGGCACCCCAGUCUGGCAAAGCCCCUUCCUCUCCCCUGAACUACACUGAUGUAGACAGGUCCUCCCAUCCUCCUCCCUUCACGACUCUGAUUCCAGAUGCACCAGGUUGCUAGUCUUCCCCCUGGUUAGUUACUGGGUCCUACAGUACUGUUUUCCCACACUGCUCCACCCAUGCUUCAGCUGCCAUGGUGGCUGGCCUAAGACCCCAGGUCAGGGGGCCGCACCCUGAGGUCUGAGCCAGGGACACACACAACAUAUGAGGGCCCCACUUAUUGUUGCUGGGGGUCUCCUAUGGUCCUGCCAUAAGGAAUUGAGUCUGCAAAAACACCACCUUGCAAAACAUGUGCUGAGAGUGAUCACGCUCUAAAGGGACACGUUGCCACAGAACGUGGUGGAACUGAAGAGUCCCCGCCUGGGAUUCCAGUGAAGCCAUCUUUCCCUGAUCACCUGCUGUGCGCUAGGUACCAGGUUCAAUUCUUUUGUUUACCUGAUCACAUGGGAACCUCAAAAUGACUCUGUGAGGUGGGCUGUCUAAUUGAUAUUUUACAAACGAGAAAGCUGAGGCUCGGUAGCUUAAAUCACUUCUCAAAGGGUAUUUGGCUUAUAAAUAGAAUCUUUAGUCCCUAAUUCCAAUGUUCUUUCCUUACCCAUAGCCCCAUCACAGAGGUAGAAAAUGCAGGUUCUCAUUUUAACAGCAGCCCUUGUAGCUCUGGCAAUAGUCAUGUGACGCAAUAGCAGCCAAUGAAACUAGAGGGGAACUCUGCUGAGGGAAUUCUGGGCAAGGUAAAAUCUGUGUAACAAAAGAAAGAGAUAAGAGGAAAAGCUGCAUCUGUUCCUUCCUACCUUUGAACAAACUUGUGUCAAGACAUGAUGUAUGGCGCCUUGGCAGCCAUGUUGCAGUAAUGAGGGGGAGUGCCAGGAGCUCCUCAGAGAAGCCCUGACGUGGUUGAGAUACUGAUCCUGCUUGGAAUCAUCUCCCUUUAGAUGAUUUACUAUGUGAGAAAAAUAAGCACAAGUGGGAAUCUCCUAAUACAUCUCUGCUCCCUUCCACUUCCUCCCAUUACCCUCUCCUUGGGAAGCAUCAGAGACCUCUCUCCGCUUGCUCAGUGAUAACCCAAAUUCCGUACACAGGAGACAAGGCUUUGCACUUCUCAGAUGACCUUAGGUCUGGUUUGUCUGGGACCUUUCUGGGACAGUUCUAGUUUAUGCCUAUGGUUCUGGAGUAAUUUUAAAAGAUGCUAAAAAUAUGGUCCUGGAUGGAUGUUAAAUUCUAUGGCAAAGUGAUUCCUUUUACAGAGACGAAACGCUUAAGUGUGAAUACCACUGUACGAGAGGGAAUAUAGAGUCUCCAACUCACGGUGAAGGGCCAAAUGGCUCGCAUUUUGGGAGAGGGUGUAGGAGGGUGCAGACAGGGUG
ensembl:lncRNA